AGAGUUUGAUCAUGGCUCAGAACGAACGCUGGCGGCAUGCUUAACACAUGCAAGUCGAACGCGUGUCUUCGGACACGAGUGGCGCACGGGUGAGUAGCGCGUGGGAACCUGCCCUGGAGUGGGGGAUAACCGCGGGAAACUGCGGCUAAUACCGCAUACGCCGGGAAACCGGGAAAGAUUUAUCGCUCCAGGAGGGGCCC
rnacentral:rRNA from 1 species